CGCAACGAUCCCCACCCAACUCCCCGGCUCAUCCCUCACGCAUCGGGGGAUCGCGCCCGCAUCCACCGCAUCCAUCGCAUCCGCCGCCGUCGCCUUCGAUCCUCCCCGCCAUCGCCGUCCUCCCCACCUCGUCGCCGACCCAGUGCCGCCAUCGCCUUCCUCCCCCACCGCGUCAAUCAUCGCCGUCCUCCCCCACCGCGUCGCCGACCCAGCGCCGCCAUCGCCGUCCUCCCCCACCGCGUCGCCGACCUAGCUCCUCGCCUCAUCCCUCCUACACCAGCUCCCUCCCCCACUGCUGUCCUCGCCACCGCCAUCGCCGUCCUCCCCCACCACGUCGCCGACCCAGCGCUCCUCUCCGUCGAUCUCCACCACGGUCCCUUUCGCGCCACACCGGAAGCUGCCCGCCAGUCCUCCGGUCGUCGCUGGUUGCUGUCGGCAGGUGGAUGCAGUACUCUGGUCGCCCGUCUCCCCUCCAUCACCGAGUGACAUUCCCAUCUACAAAAGGUAAACAAAAUUUCUUAUAUGGCGUUCGAUUGUUAGACAUCCCCCAUCUAGAAAAGUUACAAAUCAACUAAAGUUCAUAAAUUUGUUGAGCAAAUGUCCAGAAACCAAUUCACUUUUCAAAGUGAUUUUAGCACUGUACUGCUUUGUUCGAGCUGUAAUCAAAACGUAUGUGAAAGUAUCAGUUGGACAGUUUCGUUUUAAGUAAAAGAAACAGUUUCCUGUUGAAGGUAUAUCUACAAUGUGUAUCUGAUUUGUGGACAUUAUCUGUUUUCUCCCUUUUCGUCUCGCUGCUUCGUACUGUUGCUAUGUUGUGAAAUGAUUUCUGUAGAAGUUUAACUUAACUCUGAUUUAAGUUAACUUACGCGGAAGCGUGCUAGGGAGCGAUAUGCUGCUCUUAGCGCUGACGACAAGAAAUUAAUCUUAGUGCUGACGACAAGGAAGCUAGGCUUCAAAAGAUGCGAGAGUAUCGAUCCUGUACCUACCCAUGGUAUUUAAAUUAUUAUCUCACAAACGGCAUAGAUCUGAAGUGAAAUCUUGCCACUGGACACAAGCUCACUCUUCUUCAGGACGUCAGGUUCCUUCAUCACCCGGGUACUCUUCCCUACUGUGAAAGUAAGACCAGUUUCUUCUGUUUGUCCUGUUUUUACUUGAUUAAUUUCUGCGAUAUCAAUUUUUUAACAUGCAAUGGAAAUAUUGUUGAUCUAUGUUGUGUCUGUCAAUUUAUUGAUCUGUGAUGCCGCAUUUACAUGUGGUGCACACUCAUCACUACAACGACUUCUCCUAUGGUAUUAACAUACUGUUUCUCUGUUUGGUCAUGAUCCUGGUAGUUGUUUUACUGGCUAGGUGCUCACAUUAGACAUAAAAUUUUGGAUGUGAUUAUAUAUAUACUUCCUCAUGGUAAGUGUCUCAUGUUAAGUUCUGAUGAUCAACGUAAUUGCUGAUGGGAAUUCAUGGUGAUAAACCACACCUGAAUUCUAUAAAUGUGAGAGAAGACCUCCACUCAAUGAAAUUUAGUCAAUAUGCGAGCAAAAAAUACACUAAUCCCUGAUUCAUAUGCUGUUGAGCCUGUCCUGGUAAUUGGGUGGUCACCGCCACCACUAAUCCCUGAUUCAUACACGAAUCUGUUGCAUUGCAUUGUGAUGGGUGCCUGGAUAUUUCCCCGAUUCGUCAUGCUGUUAAUUGUUAGCUUCAUAUGCUGUUGAGCCUGUCAUGGUUGUGUAUCUGUGAUUUUUUCACUUUGAUGCGAAACGGUUUUUCUGAUGUUUGCACGUUUCUUUCCCUAGGAGGAUGAUAUGCUUCCUACUCAAAUCGCUAUUCAGUUGACUAAUGAGUAUGAAUUUUUCCCGCUUCUCAUUUAAAUUGACAGUCUUCUUGAUUUAAUAACCAUAUUUUACACUUUCUCCUUUCAAUAGCUGGAAUAUUAUAGCGGCACCAUUCAUAAAUGACAUUAUCCUAUUCGGGACAUUUCUGUCUGUAAGUGCUAAGUUGACAGGUGAAUGCAAAGUUCAAUUCAGUGCAGUGAAGAACCUGCCAACAGAUCAAGGGCGAGGGCAGGGGAAGGGUGCUGCAGCGCUUCAACACAUUAGCGCUUCCAGAUAUGCUGUGUUCUGACCAGUAAAUUGAUGUCAAAAGAUCGAAGGCUCUAGAUCACUCUAGCGUGUGGCCUUGGUGUACUAGCCACUUGCCAGGAAAAGGAGUGUGGGAGUGGGAGCUUAUGGCACGAGCUGGAGACAUGGAGAGAGAUUAGCAGGUUCAUUAGAAGUGAAAUUGUAGCAGAGAUUUCUUGAUGGAAAUUUGACAUUGAUCAGAACUAUUUGUAUGCAAAUUAUGUGGCAGCAUUUUUCUCAGUUUACAUAUAAGCUUUUGUUAACA